rnacentral:lncRNA from 1 species
GCGGACACUUGGAACUUUCGAACGAACAAAAUAUUCAAAUUUUCAAACAUGUUCAAAACUUCAUAAAAAGGUCAAACAGAUUUCUUAUGCCUUGAUAGAGCGUUAUUAUUACUGACACGGAACGUCAUCAUUGUCAUCAAUUCACAAGUCAUCGUCACAGAAUUAUACGACUUUUCAAACUUUCUUUUUCUCUUUUUAUUUUCUAUCCUCUUUGUUCACCUAUCAAAGCUAGUAUUAUAUUGCAUAAAUUGUUUGUUUUAUAUGCAUGUCCAUUAUAUUAUACUAUU